rnacentral:rRNA from 1 species
GACGAACGCUGGCGGCGUGCCUAAUACAUGCAAGUAGAACGCACAGUUUAUACCGUAGCUUGCUACACCAUAAACUGUGAGUUGCGAACGGGUGAGUAACGCGUAGGUAACCUGCCUGGUAGCGGGGGAUAACUAUUGGAAACGAUAGCUAAUACCGCAUAAUAUUGAUUAUUGCAUGAUAAUUGAUUGAAAGAUGCUACUGCAUCACUACCAGAUGGACCUGCGUUGUAUUAGCUAGUAGGUGAGGUAACGGCUCACCUAGGCGACGAUACAUAGCCGACCUGAGAGGGUGAUCGGCCACACUGGGACUGAGACACGGCCCAGACUCCUACGGGAGGCAGCAGUAGGGAAUCUUCGGCAAUGGACGAAAGUCUGACCGAGCAACGCCGCGUGAGUGAAGAAGGUUUUCGGAUCGUAAAGCUCUGUUGUAAGAGAAGAACGGGUGUGAGAGUGGAAAGUUCACACUGUGACGGUAUCUUACCAGAAAGGGACGGCUAACUACGU